UGCCCAAUUGAUACAAAUACAAACUAAAAUUUAAUUAGUAUAGAAAACAAUAGGUGUAAUGAAUGAAAUAGAAUUAAUAAAACAAAAUUAAGAGAAUGAAUAUUGUUAUAAUUUGAUUAAAGAAUGACUGAGUAUAACUGUGAUAACUGAAAUAAAGUGAUGGAAUGUUAGGUAUGGAGAUAAAAUAUAUUUGGAAAAGGUCAAAGACAAAAAGCAAAGGAUUGUGAUGUAGGGUCAAAGCAUAGGUGAAAUGAGUGAAAGAGAAAGAUUGGAGAGUUGGGUAUGAGGGUUGAACUGAAUGAAGAAAA
rnacentral:lncRNA from 1 species